AUUGAACGCUGGCGGCAUGCCUUACACAUGCAAGUCGAACGGUAACAGGCCGCAAGGUGCUGACGAGUGGCGAACGGGUGAGUAAUACAUCGGAACGUGCCCGAGAGUGGGGGAUAACGGAGCGAAAGCUUUGCUAAUACCGCAUACGCCCUACGGGGAAAGGGGGGGAUCGCAAGACCUCUCACUAUUGGAGCGGCCGAUAUCGGAUUAGCUAGUUGGUGGGGUAAAGGCUCACCAAGGCGACGAUCCGUAGCUGGUUUGAGAGGACGACCAGCCACACUGGGACUGAGACACGGCCCAGACUCCUACGGGAGGCAGCAGUGGGGAAUUUUGGACAAUGGGGGAAACCCUGAUCCAGCCAUGCCGCGUGAGUGAAGAAGGCCUUCGGGUUGUAAAGCUCUUUCGGCUGGGAAGAAAUCGCACAGGCUAAUACUCUGUGUGGAUGACGGUACCAGCAUAAGAAGCACCGGCUAACUACGUG
rnacentral:rRNA from 1 species